CUCACUCACACCUAGUCAAUUUACAAUCAACAAUUCACCUAACCUGCAUGUCCUUGGAGGUGGGAGGAAGUCAGAGUACCCGGAGGGAAACCAUGCAAGCACAGGGACAACAUGCACACUCCACACAGAAAGACCUUAGGUGGGCAUCGAUCC